rnacentral:rRNA from 1 species
GCCGGCAGUUAGCUCUCUGCAACUCUCACAUGGUCGCCCACUGAAGCUAAGCAGGGCUGCGCCCGGUCAGUACCUUGAUGGGAGACCACUUGGGAAAGUUAGGUUGCUGCCGGAA